rnacentral:lncRNA from 1 species
UGAGGAAGAAUAUCACAGGGAUAUUAAUAACAAUUUCACAGGCUGGGUGAACACAGCCGGCGAUGCUGAAAUUAUCAUCAUCCUCUCCCCCUCUUCCCCUCCUGGCUCUCAGUCCCCGCCUCACGGGUUAUGUAGCGGAUUAUGGCAAGAAGACAAACUGCAGUUUCCUGCACAGAACAGCACAAACAAUGAUCCAAGCUCAGUUACAACACAAUAUUGGUCAUCAUUUGACCAUGGACUUCAUAUCAACCCUUAGAAAUGUUCCUAAAACAGGUCAGCAAAACACCAAGAAGCAAUAUCCUGAAUGAUAGGAAAAUAUCCUUCCUUGUGCAAAUUGUUUCCACUUAAAUUAAUUUUUUUCAACAAAUGUUAAUUAUAUUUUUACUUUCUAAAACUUUUUAAUAAAAU